UGUGCAUGGGCCGUUCUUAGUUCGUGGAGUGAUCUGUCUGCUUAAUUGCGUUUGGAUACAACAAUUUUGGAAUCGCGGCAAUGUUCAGCUUAAUGGCGUCGAUAAAAUUAACAUUAUGUUGACAAUUAGUCCAACUCGGUCCAGCUCGAUUCUUUCCAAUGCAACGAGCGUGAUCGCGACCCCUUGUUGAGCUUAUUACACAUAAGCUCUAUGUCGACGGAACGCUUUUGCGUUACGGAGACAAACUCGGGGGACAGCUUCAAUCAAUUUUCUCAAACGAGAGGAAGGUUGCGGCAAUAACAGGUCUGUGAUGCCCUCAGAUGUCCUGGGCCGCACACGUGCUACAUUGAUCAGCGCAGUGCGUCUUUUUUCCAAUGAAACAUCGGUCUGGCCGUUUUUAACAGUCCUGUACGGUUUUGCAAUGGCUACUGAUAGUGUCUGGUGUUCAACACACUGGGCAAUCUCUUGAAAAUACUGAUAGAAUACCCAACUCGAGCAAAUCUACUACACGCUGGAGGCACAACGGU
rnacentral:rRNA from 1 species